GCGAUGAUCACCCCACGGUGCCGGUUGUACUCCGUGUCACCUGCCAUAUCUGUGCAGCCUUCCUUUCUGGUCGAUCCUGUGUGGAAAUUCUAAGACCUUUUAAUUGAUCAGUUUUGCCGCUCUCAAACUGCUUCCAAACUGCAGCAGAACAGACCAUCCUCCAACAUGUGUUUGUCCUGUGUGUCGCAUGGUUUGG